rnacentral:rRNA from 1 species
AAUCAACGCUGGCGGCGUGCCUAACACAUGCAAGUCGAACGAGAAAGUGGAGCAAUCCAUGAGUAAAGUGGCGCACGGGUGAGUAACACGUGACUAACCUACCCUUGAGUGGGGGAUAACCUAGGGAAACCUGGGCUAAUACCGCAUAAUACCUUCGGGUCAAAGGAGCAAUUCGCUUAAGGAGGGGGUCGCGGCCGAUUAGUUAGUUGGCGGGGUAAUGGCCCACCAAGACUGUGAUCGGUAUCCGGCCUGAGAGGGCGCACGGACACACUGGAACUGAAACACGGUCCAGACUCCUACGGGAGGCAGCAGUGGGGAAUUUUGCGCAAUGGGGGAAACCCUGACGCAGCAACGCCGCGUGGAGGAUGAAGCCCCUUGGGGCGUAAACUCCUUUCGAUCGGGACGAUUAUGACGGUACCGGAAGAAGAAGCCCCGGCUAACUUCGUGCCAGCAGCCGCGGUAAUACGAGGGGGGCGAGCGUUGUUCGGAAUUAUUGGGCGUAAAGGGUGCGUAGGCGGUUUGGUAAGUCUUGUGUGAAAUCUCCGGGCUCAACUCGGAGUCUGCAUGAGAAACUGCC